UAGCAUGAGUAGUUUGUUCCGAAAUACUAGCGUUGGGAUUGCUGUUCGCCAUCAUGCAAUCGGCCCUCCGUGCCACCCCUGGGAUUUUUAAUGCCACUCGUGCCCACACUCAAGUGUUUUGAAGAAUGUAAAAUCCCGUGUGUGAUAAACAUGUGUAAAGAAACCUUUCGUAAGAAGCCAGAAGAGCUUUACAACAAUCUUGGACUGGGAGAUGGAGGCCAUCAUAAACUUCUUGUAGGAUGAGUUGCCGCAGACAGAGAUGAAAACCAUGAUGAAUGUCCGUGAGCCAGAGGUGGGUCUGAAAUUUGACAAAUGGUCAGCCUUAUUGAUGGUAUCUCUCCAUGAAAGUACAGCACAUGACAGGCGAGAAACUUGAAGCGAAUUGGGUUAAACUGACCGGCUGCAACCAAAUACAGUGCCUAGAGAUGAUUUUGAAUCACUUCAUGCAUUAUCCUGUGGAUAGUCAUGAAACAAUAAAAGACCUACGUACAGAGAUGGGUACAUUUUCAGGCAUAUGGAAUAAUUUGUGCUCAGAGGAACGCAGUGGCACAACGUUUGAGCAUCAACAUUGUGAUCGGGAGGUCCUGGCUUCGAUACCCGGCAUGUGCCACGUUGUAACUCUUACCUUCUGGAUAGGCUGGGCUAUGAUUUGUUUAGUACAACAAUGCAAGGGACUUAACAAAAUUGAGGCGGAAAUAUUCUUGAGGCAGUGUCGGUGCAUAGAAGAAAUGGAAACAUUAAGGAUUAAGGAUUUAUUUCAUAGUGAAUUACACAGUCACAAAUGGAUUACACACAUUUUGGAUUAGACUAGUUUCUGCUGCAACUGACAUUUUUGCAGGUGCCCACUCGUAGGCAAUUCCUUGAUGUCUUCCUUGGAUUUUACAUGAUAUUAUGUCAUUUUCGCCAACAUCGGGUUUUGGCGCCAAGACGUUUGUUCCUAGAACAGUUGAUUUAAAUGCCGAAUGUGGUCAGUUUUAAUUUAUAUCGCAGGUGUCUACCCAAACAAUUUUAGAUGCUUUCUGCUGAAUCUUCUAUUACUACUGUUUUUACUGGGGUUUCAUCGAUGUUUUUUGGUGGAGUGUGACUCUAAAGUAAUAGGCAGCUUGUUAUGCCCCCGCCAAUGCGUAAAGCAUUGCGGAGGCAUUAUGUUUUACCAAUGUCCGUCAGCCGGUAGGCGUCAGGCGUCUGUAAACUUUUCGUUUCCUCUCAUUUUAACAAGAACGCUUUGAGUAAUAACCAUGUAACUUUUUUGUGGGUAGAAAAAGAUAACGUGUACAGCGGGCAUUACAGACCAAUAACUCUUUCACGAUGUCAACUAAACCUAGUCAGCUAUGACACCAGCUGCCCGGGGUUGUCUGAAAAACACUUCACUUUCCUAAUACACCAACUCAAAGUGCUCACCGGGGCAUAUGCUAUGCCCUGCGUUGCUCUUGUUAUUGCAGUAUUUUUGUUCUUCCUCUGGUUCACCUAUAAACUAUUUUUCCAAUCUCCAAUCAUGUUUGAUGCUUUAGCCAUUUUGUUUCAGCUCUUAGAUAGUAGAAAAACGUGUUAUUCAUUAUUUCUGGUAGCACAAGUCCUGGCACGAAAUACCUUUCCCGUCAUAAUAUCAGUACCAAGACAUCACAGGGUAGGUCCUAACUCCAGGAGACGCCUUACUCGUGCACUGUUCCACGUGAAAAGGGUCACUGCUUGGAGAGCUAAAUGGGUCAACAUCAGAAAAGCGCGAUAAUUCAGUCUUUGGAAUUUUUCCUUUUUUUGUGCAAUUUGUUGAUGGAAACUACUUAUGUAGAACAGGAGGUGACUGGGCAGCGGACAGCUGGGUAAUAUUGCCCUUAACCCCUCGCCUCCCUAGAGGGGACGAUAUAUCGUCCCUGUAUUUUGUCUCGCGUAGGCGGUACGAUAUAUCGUCCCUAUACCAAUGCUUUAGUAUAGAACUCUCGGUACACGUUAGACGCUAUUGUACAGUGUAUUCGUGUCCCUGGUGAUCUGCAGAAGACUAGAUUUAGUUUCAUUCAUAGUUUACAGAGGGCGCUGCAGUUUGAUUGGCGCUUGUGCAGCGUCACAGUACAAGAACUGAUUAGCAUAUAAAUUAAUAUUAUGUUGUAUUAUUCGAUCAAUCAGUAAUAGACAAUAGUCAAUCAAAGGUUAUCAAUCAAGUUACGUUGAUCAUUAACAGGUUGUAACUGCAUCAAUUACAGUUCCAUAUACUUUGUUCAAAUCAGAAAAAUCAAUCAAUUAGAGCAAAAUCAAUCAAAAAAUAUUGAUUAUUACUGAUUAUUGAUUACCUCUUACCUAAUUGAUACCCAGAAACAACGCCAAUUGAUAGCCAAGGUAAUCAGCUUUACGAAAAUGUAUGGUUUUAUUAGUCGUACUUCCACCUAUCAAAUCCCCGUGUCUUUUGCGCUUACACCUAUGAAUUGUCGUGUCUAAAUAGACCCGUGUGUCAAAUCCCCGUGUCUAUUAGCCCCAUCGAGCUUGAUGCGGCCAAUCGGGGGCUAAUUUAGACCCGUGUUCAACACAGGUUUUUGAUUGCAAGUUCUAAGAUCCGGCGACAGAUGGCGCGGUGUAGUUGCCUCGGUAUUGCGCAUGCGAAAUUCCCCUCCAACGGGAAAGAAACACAGGAGAGCUCCCUUCCUACAGCGCACCUGUCGCCGGGGCUAUUAAUCAUUAUCUAACACAACUGAUAGGUGUAAGUGCGCCGCGGGUUUUUUGACACACGGCGAAGACACGGGUCUUGAAAAAACACGGGGUUUUAUCAUAGGUGUUCUGUAGGGACU